UACGAAGGGGGCUAGCGUUGCUCGGAAUCACUGGGCGUAAAGCGCACGUAGGCGGCUUUUUUAAGUCAGGGUGAAAUCCUGGAGCUCAACUCCAGAACUGCCUUUGAUACUGGGAGCUUGAGUCCGGGAGAGGUGAGUGGAACUGCGAGUGUAGAGGUGAAAAUUCGUAGAUAUUCGCAAGAACACCAGUGGGCGAAGGCGGCUCACUGGCC
rnacentral:rRNA from 1 species